CUGGCCAUAAUUACAAUGCAAUUAGCCAAUUAAUUUUUAACUUGACCAAAAUUUAAAUGAAUUGGCCAAAACUCCAAUCACAUAAUCCACCAAAUACCCAAUUAAAUCAAUUUCGGACGAUUUCCUAAUGGGAACUAACAAGCAGCAGCCCAUUCUUUACUUCUCAUUAACCAGCCCAACAACCCUCCAGUUAACCACCCCAGGCCCAAUGCUGCCUCGGCCCAGCACCUCAAAGGAUGACCCGGCCCACUUGUUGUUUCUCCCUCAAAACAACAGAACACACGAUUUUUAACAGACAACAACGAUAAUACAACAACCAAAACGUAAAAACACGCAUAUCAUCUUCUAAACGAAUGCAACAAACUGACCCAUCUCAGACCCGAAUCUAAUUGCACCAACCCACAUCUGGCUUCAACGAAGCUUCUAGAAAUUCAACGUGUCCAACUCAGUAACGGUCGAAUCCAGCACAGCAUCAGCACCUCAUCAAGCUGAGGUACAAAUUCCCAAAAAAUCCAACUAAAAAUUCGUUGUCAUCACACUAUCAUAGUACAAAAUGUUUCCCCCUGUUGGUGGAGAAAUAUUCAUUUUCCCCCAAAAUUCCCUAUGAAUUCAGCGAUCUCUUCGUCCAAUUCAUCCAUGGAAAGAGGGGGGGAAAUCCAAAAGCUUAUCUGUUUUGAAUUCAAAAGUAGGCCUCAAUUUGUAGUUUUCCCUUUUUACCCUGGUUGUCCUUUUCCCACAUCGUUGAAGGCUUAAGAAGAGAGUCUAAUUUGUUCUCUAUAUAAGCAGCUCGCGAUUGAGCCUGAAAAGGGGGUCGGAAGAGAAAAAAUUUUCUACAAGAAAAAUAACAGAGAAAAAGGAAAAGAAAAAGGAGGAAGGAAAUUUUGAGAGCACACCAGUUUCUUUUUUUAAUAAAGAUUUUCUAUUUUUUUUCUUCUUUUUGAAAGUUGGUCGGUUAAUCGGAGGUUCCUGAGUUGAUAACGCUAAUUUUCGGUGGUGGCGCAUCUCGACAUUAGCUCGUUAUCCCGUUUUGCUGCUCCAAAACAGGUGCAUUUAAGGGAGUUAGCACAACAAAUACAAAAAUCAAAAGGGUCGCUCAACAGGAGGAAGGCCGAAAAUUCAUCCUCAAAAUUUGCCUUAAAGUAAAGCAAACGGUACAUGUAGAAAGCAAAAUGCAGACAAGCGAACUCAAGUGAAACUGAUUUCAAAUCCCCAAAAGAACUAUUUCAUCUCAUCUCAUUGCCAAGAGGGCUAUUUAAUAUUUGUUGACACGCGAGACAAAACGUUGGCGUCGAAGAUAUCAUCAACAUUCAACAUCUGUUAACACGCGAGACACAAACACUGGCAUCGAAGAUAUCAUCAACAUUCAAUAAUUGUUGACACGCGAGACACAAAUGCUAUCGUCGAGAAUAUCAUCAGUAUUUAAUAUCUGUUGACAUGUGAUACACAAAUGCUGGCGUCGAGGAUACCAUCAGCAUUUAAUAUCUGUUGACAUACGAGACACAGAUACUGGCAUCGGGGAUAUCAUCAGCAUGUAAUAUUUGUUGACAUGCGAGACAAAAAUAUGGACAUCAAAGAUAUCAUUAGUAUUCAAUAUCUAUUGACACGUGAGACACAAACGCUGGCAUCGAGGAUAUCAUCCGCAUUAAUAUCUGUUGACACACGAGACACAAAUGCUGGCGUCGAGAAUAUUUCAUUAUUUUAUGAAUCAGCACCUGAAUGCAUCAAGAGCACGCAAUUUAAAGGGACUUCUUUAAAUCGCUAUGUGAAGACGAGUGAUAUAUGAAAUUUCUUAGAAAUUGACAAUUUGAGGGUUAUCUAUAGAUUAUAUUACUUGAAAUAAGAUAGUGUGCAAGAUUACCUAUGAGUUGAUAUCCCAUAGGUUAUUCGUAAGCCGCAAUAACAUCAUAACGAAAUAGUGUGCAAGGUUAUCCAAAGAUUGAUAGUCCGAAGGUUAUCCAUAAGUCACAACUAAAUCCUUACCGGAGAAUAUGCGAGAUGAUCAAAUUGAUAACUCUAAGGGUUCUCUAUAAGCUGCAUCAUAUCCAAGAUAGAUUAUGUGCAGGAUUACCCAAAGACUAGCAAUUUGAGAGAUAUCUAUAAGUCAUAUUGUAUCCAAGGUGGGAAGAUUUACAGGAAUACUUGAGAGGUACCAAUUAGAGGGAUAUAUAUAAGACAUCUCUUAUCCAAGGUCGGAUAAUGUGUGGGAUUACCUAAAGGCUAGAAAUUUAGAGGAUAUUUGUAAGCGACCUCGUAUCCAACAUCAAAUAAUGUGCAAGAUUAUCCAAAGAUUGUCAAUUCAAGGGAAAGCUAUAAGUCGUAUCGAUACAAAAGAUGUGCAAGACUUACCCGAGAUCAUAUGUAAAGAAUCAUUGGCAAUAAUCAGAGAAGUUAUCAUACAACAAGAAUUAUAGGUAACCAAAGGAUUGCCACAUUAACAUAAGAUUACACGGUUGUAGGGACCGUUCUGCAUAAAGUGUCAUCGGUAUCCAAAAGGGCCUUCCCACUUUGAAGACAUAUUCAAUCGAUAAAGAAGCUAAUUAUGCAAUAACCAAGAGAUUUGUUAUGUCUGUUAUUGUAAGUUAUUUCUUUCCAAAUAGGUACAUGAAAGGAUGACUUCACUUUUCAGGCGACAACUCACGUGAAAAUAUGGUAAACACUAUACACCUCUUUCAUAAAUUAUGUUUAGCAUUAAUAAUUUUUGUUUGAGACAUUGUCGAGAAAAUACGAGAGGAUAAAAAUCUCAAGUCAAAACCACAGGUGUGGACGACUCCAGAUAGGAUGCAACACAAUGUGGAACUCUUUCUUAGCAGCAAAAUGGGACGUAGUCUGGAAAGGGAGGUCAAACUCUUUGGACGUGAGCUAAAGGAUGAUCGCCACCACCAAUCAAACCACACCCCUAUUAGAAGGCAUGUGAGUAUUUUAGGAUAUUUUAGUUUUAGCUUCACCUUCAAAACAUUUUUAAACUUAUACCAAGGGUAACCUUCUCUUUCUUUCAAAUUCGAGUGAUAGGACACCUAGAGUUUUGGAAAUUAUGUCCAGGUGAAUUCUUACCUAUGGGUGUGAAUAGCUCCACGUUUAUGGUUAAGAGGUUACAAGCCUUUUUUCAUAACUCGAACAACUUAUCACUCAUUCCGGGCCAAAGAUCAUCUGAAAUAAAAGGUUGUCUUUUCUACCGAUUGAAUCGAACUACAAGUUGUCUGAUUCUCUGAGUCUCGGAGAUAUGUAGGCUGGGAUCUUUGUUGAAAACUCGAUUGCAUUCCAACCUCCCCCCAAAUCCCUUUA